GCAGUUAAAAAGCUCGUAGUCGGAUUUUGGCUGAGAACGGUCGGUCCGCCGUUAGGUGUGCACUGACUGGUCUCAGCUUCCUGGUGAGGAGGUGUGCUUCAUCGCCACUUAGUCACCGUGGUUACUUUGAAAAAAUUAGAGUGUUCAAAGCGGGCUUACGCUUGAAUAUAUUAGCAUGGAAUAACACCAUAGGACUCCUGUCCUAUUUCGUUGGUCUCGGGACGGGAGUAAUGAUUAAGAGGAACAGUUGGGGGCAUUCGUAUUUCAUUGUCAGAGGUGAAAUUCUUGGAUUUAUGAAAGACGAACUUCUGCGAAAGCAUUUGCCAAGGAUGUUUUCAUUGAUCAAGAACGAAAGUUGGGGGCUCGAA
rnacentral:rRNA from 1 species